rnacentral:rRNA from 1 species
GAUGAACGCUAGCGGGAGGCCUAACACAUGCAAGUCGAACGGGAUUGAGAGCUUGCUCUCAUGAGAGUGGCGCACGGGUGAGUAACGCGUAUGCAACCUACCUAUAACAGAGGGAUAGCCCAUAGAAAUGUGGAUUAAUACCUCAUAGUUCUGAGUUUCCGCAUGGGGAUUCAGAUAAAGCUCCGGCGGUUAUAGAUGGGCAUGCGUGACAUUAGCUAGUUGGUAAGGUAAUGGCUUACCAAGGCAACGAUGUCUAGGGGUUCUGAGAGGAUGAUCCCCCACACUGGUACUGAGACACGGACCAGACUCCUACGGGAGGCAGCAGUGAGGAAUAUUGGUCAAUGGGCGCAAGCCUGAACCAGCCAUCCCGCGUGCAGGAUGAAGGCCCUAUGGGUCGUAAACUGCUUUUAUAUACCAAGAAAACCCCGGACGUGUUCGGGUUUGACGGUAGUGUAUGAAUAAGCAUCGGCUAACUCCGUGCCAGCAGCCGCGGUAAGAC